rnacentral:rRNA from 1 species
CCUACGGGUGGCAGCAGUGAGGAAUAUUGGGCAAUGGCCGGAAGGCGGAACCAGCCAAGCCGCGGGAAGGACGAAGGUGCCAAGCAUUGUAAACUUCUUUUGUCAAGGGACAAAAUCAGGCUCGAGAGCCUGACCGAGGGUACUUGAAGAAAAAGCAUCGGCUAACUCCGUGCCAGCAGCCGCGGUAAUACGGAGGAUGCGAGCGUUAUCCGGAUUUACUGGGUGUAAAGGGCGUGUAGGCGGGAGUGCAAGUCAGAUGUGAAAACUAUGGGCUCAACCCGUAGCCUGCAUUUGAAACUGGACUGCUUGAGUGCUGGAGAGGCAAUCGGAAUUCCGUGUGUAGCGGUGAAAUGCGUAGAUAUACGGAGGAACACCAGUGGCGAAGGCGGAUUGCUGGACAGUAACUGACGCUGAGGCGCGAAAGCGUGGGGAGCAAACAGGAUUAGAUACCCGGGUAGUC